rnacentral:misc_RNA from 1 species
CGCACAUUGCGCCCCUUGGUAUUCCAUGGGGCAUGCCUGUUCGAGCGUCAUUUGCACCUUCAAGCUCUGCUUGGUGUUGGGCGUCUUGUCUAGCUACUAGACUCGCCUCAAAUGAAUUGGCAGCCAGUGUAUUGGUCUUGAGCGCAGCACAAUUUGCACUCUUACCAGCUAUAUCUGGCAUCCACAAGCCUUUUAACACGCUUGACCUCGGAUCAGGUAGGGAUACCCGCUGAACUUAA